AUUGAACGCUGGCGGCAGGCUUAACACAUGCAAGUCGAGCGGAGAUGAGGUGCUUGCACCUUAUCUUAGCGGCGGAUGGGUGAGUAAUGCUUAGGAAUCUGCCUAUUAGUGGGGGACAACAUUCCGAAAGGAAUGCUAAUACCGCAUACGUCCUACGGGAGAAAGCAGGGGAUCUUCGGACCUUGCGCUAAUAGAUGAGCCUAAGUCGGAUUAGCUAGUUGGUGGGGUAAAGGCCUACCAAGGCGACGAUCUGUAGCGGGUCUGAGAGGAUGAUCCGCCACACUGGGACUGAGACACGGCCCAGACUCCUACGGGAGGCAGCAGUGGGGAGUAUUGGACAAUGGGGGGAACCCUGAUCCAGCCAUGCCGCGUGUGUGAAGAAGGCCUUAUGGUUGUAAAGCACUUUAAGCGAGGAGGAGGCUACUGAGACUAAUACUCUUGGAUAGUGGACGUUACUCGCAGAAUAAGCACCGGCUAACUCUGUGCCAGCCGCCGCGGUAA
rnacentral:rRNA from 1 species